GGGCGUGGAGAGACACAUGCUAGCAGUUCAAAGGAUUUUUCUGCAUGCAGCAUAGUAAAUAAACUGAAGAGGCAAUUUUUAUGAAAAAUAUUUGCCCAGCCAAAGAAGGAAGCCAGUGAAAUUGUAAGGUUGCUGCUGAGUAGUUAAAUCCUCAGGUAGGACUUGUCUCGUGCCUCACAACUACCACCAGGACUACAGAACGAAACAAGUGGCCAAACUGAUCUUGGAGGUGGGAGAGCAAGCCGAUUGUAAUGGAGGACAUGGAUGAAUCUGGAGAACAUCAUCCUCAGCAAACUGACACAAGAACAGAAAAUGAAACACCGCAUAUUCUCAC
rnacentral:lncRNA from 1 species